CCAUGACCAACUCACUUUCAAUCACAAACCUAAUAGAUUACAACAAUCAUUGUUUGCAGUGAUGGUCAUUUAAUUGUACAUAGUAAAAUGGUGAUUUACGUUGUUUGCUAUGGUAACAAGUCAGUGGGGUUGUAAAGUGUGUCACUUUUGCCAAAUGUGGAGAUAUUUAGCACUGUGGCUAUAGCCUGAAAUCAGAAGUCAACCAAAUAAUUGUGAACAUUGGAAUAUGUGGCUAAUGUGUCACACACGUUUAGCAUAAAAGUAAGCUUGUGCUUACUAUUAUCUCAAUCUGAAGCCUGCUUGGUAUCAUGGCAACUAUUCACAUAUGGUAUUUAGAUUUGGACAGCAGAGAGCUUGUGGCAGCAUGUGGACUCAUGAAGCAAUUUUACAAUGUAGAAGGUCUGUAAUGUAAUCUCAUGUAUAUUUUGAGGUGGAGAGUCUGGAGACAAAGGAGCUGAAGGACUUUGCAGUCUCUUGAGGAGAAGAAACACAGAGGUGUCAGAGGGGUUGCAAGUGGUCCUGCAAAAAUACAAGACUGCUUUAGGUCCUGAGGCCUCUGUCAUUCAAAAUAUUGAAGAGGAAGACCAAAGUGUCCACAGCAGUCCAGACACCAGUGAGGAUGAAGAGGAAAGCAUAAUUUAGAUUGAAGCUGCACUGAGGAUGGACUAAGGAAAUGGACUUGCCUAGAAAGCACUAAUGUGAUAAAACAUGCAUUCGGGCGUCUUAUAUUAUUUCACACGCAUAGAUAUUAACUUGGCACUAUGGGGAGGGAACCAAGGAAGGCAGGCUUUCCUAUGAUUGGCCGUUCUGAAGCGGGAUAUUCGAUUGACAGCCCUCCUCAGCCCGAAUUCAGCCAAGGGUUUCUUACUUGAAGGGACCUUCGCCCAGACGUGAUUGUCUUCUGAGUUUCAGCCAUUGACUACAAUACAGAAUGAAUGAGAGGAGGGCUGAGGAAGGCUCUCAAUCAAAUAUCGUGCUUCAGAAACAGCCAAUCACAGGAAAGCACGCCCUGCCUUGAUUCCCUCCCACAUAGUGCCAAAAUUAAAUUUGAGCGAGAGAGCAUAACAUCAUUCGCGAGAGGCUGUUUUGUAUGACCAAAGUUAUUCCCCCUCUCGCUUGCAACGAGGUAAUGCUCUCGAGGAUCUUUUUUCCUGGCUCGGGGAGCUGCGCUCUGAGUGCGGACGUGCGCACAGAUAAUUUGGGCGCUCGCAGUUAACAUCUACGUGUAUGAAAUAAUAUAAUACGCCCGAAUGCAUGUUUUAUCCCAUUAGUGCUUUAUGGCACUAAUGUGUCGCCAUACUCAACCGCUUAUCCUGGCAACUUCACACCUGACACUGCACCCUUGGGUCUUCUGCAAUACACCCACCAAGUGUAAAAUAAAUCAGAUGAACACUACUAACUGCUUCCUGUCAACUGACAGCAGUCAGCUGACCGUCAUUACAUCGCUGUAGCACGUGAACAUUCAUUGGUGCCAUACUUGACAGCUCUCCACACAGUUACAUAGCAUUGUGGUGAAUGUUCAGACCACUGUUUCAUCUCUCCCCUUCCAGCGUCACAGAUUAUCAAUCUUGGUGAUGGAGGCACUAGCAUUUUGGUGUGUUAUUUAGUUAAUGUGUGUAAAAGAUGACUUCCUCAAAUGUCUUGUUUUGUUCGGAAUUCAAAGAUAUUCAGUUGACAGAAUAUAUAGAAGUAUAAAGAAACCAGAAAAUAUUACAUUUGAGAAUCUGGAAUCUGAUCAUUUUGAAUUUUUUUAUUUUUCAAAAAAUGAAAGUGAUUAAUCGUUCAUCCAAACAGUUGGUUAUUAAUUAAAAUCAAAUAGUUGCAUGUCAUGUAAAAUGUAAAUCAAGGAGAACGACCAUUUUGAUUGAUAGGGUGGCGUGACUAAGUAUGUAUACAUAUAAUAUGUAUGUAAUAUGCAUUAGACUGUAUGUAACAAAGAGACAGUUGUAUAGUUAAUAAUAUAGGUACGUACAGUAUAACUGGAUUACAUGUUCUGUUGUCAGUGCUUAUGUAAAGCUAACCCUACAGUCCAUUUUUAAGAAAUACAGCCCAAAUUGUUUGUGUGUUGGAC
ensembl:lncRNA